rnacentral:rRNA from 1 species
UAGUAUGAAUGGCACCACGAGGGUUGCACUGUCUCCUUUCCCCAAUCAAUGAAACUAAUCUCCCCGUGAAGAAGCGGGGGUACUACUAUAAGACGAGAAGACCCUAUGGAGCUUUAAAUUUCUCUUCAAACGCCAGACACAAACAUCUAACACUUUACAUUAACCCGACGCCUUGAAGAUGAAUUUUAGGUUGGGGUGACCACGGAGAACAAAGUAACCUCCACGCUGAAAAGGCCUCUAAGCCUUGAGCCGAGGGCUACAACCCAAUGCACUAAAAAAUUAACACCCAUUGACCCAAUAUUUUUGAUCAACGAACCAAGUUACCCUAGGGAUAACAGCGCAAUCUACUUCAAGAGUCCCUAUCGACAAGUGGGUUUACGACC